CAGACCUCUGAUCAGAGAAGACUACCCGCUGAGUUUAAGCAUAUCACUAAGCGGAGGAGAAGAAACUAACCAGGAUUUCCCUAGUAACGGCGAGCGAACCGGAAAGAG
rnacentral:rRNA from 1 species